UCCGGUUACACUGGAACACAGAGCUAGUAUAAGGGGGCUGCAGAGAUUAUACAACAAACCUGUGGUUACACUGGAACACUGAGCUAGUAUAAGGGGGCUGCAGAGAUUAUACAACUGACCUGUGGUUACACUGGAACACUGAGCUAGUAUAAGGGGGCUGCAGAGAUUAUACAAGUGACCUGUGGUUACACUGGAACACAGAGCUAGUAUAAGGGGGCUGCAGAGAUUAUACAACUGACCUGUGGUUACACUGGAAGACAGAGCUAGUAUAAGGGGGCUGCAGAGAUUAUACAACAAACCUGUGGUUACACUGGAACACUGAGCUAGUAUAAGGGGGCUGCAGAGAUUAUACAACUGACUGUUGGUUACACUGGAACACUGAGCUAGUAUAAGGGGGCUGCAGAGAUUAUACAACUGACCUGUGGUUACACUGGAACACAGAGCUAGUAUAAGGGGGCUGCAGAGAUUAUACAACUGACCUGUGGUUACACUGGAACACAGAGCUAGUAUAAGGGGGCUGCAGAGAUUAUACAACUGACCUGUGGUUACACUGGAACACUGAGCUAGCAUAAAGGGGCUGCAGAGAUUAUACAACUGACCUGUGGUUACACUGGAACACAGAGCUAGUAUAAGGGGGCUGCAGGGAUUAUACAACUGACCUGCGGUUACACUGGAACACAGAGCUAGUAUACGGGGGCUGCAUGAUCAAAAACUCGCUGGAAUGGAAAGAAAUUCUGUAAAUUAUCUGGGGGAUUUUUUGAGCAUUAUAUUGCACUGUGUCUCUCUUUCACAUCCUAAACAAUAAAAAAUCUGUCCCUUUAAGAGCAGACGCAUCUCUGUGGCGCUUGCUUAUUUUCUUGUAGAGUCUGUACUUUCCCUGACUGACUUGUUCUCUUGUAGAGUCUGUACUUUCCCUGACUGACUUGUUCUCUUGUAGGGUCUGUACUUUUCCCGUUUGUAUUUUAUCUUGUGAGGUUUAUUUGUGUGUGUAAUCGUUUACCACACUCUUGUACUCAUUGCUCUGGGAACUGACACAUUACAAAUAAUUAAUACAAAAGUAAGCAAAAGUUCCUCCUACAGUGAAAGUUGUUUAUGAAGAUUGAGAGAAAUGAUUUAUCUGAAGCUUCACUACUGCAUCAGCGCCAUCUAAUGAGUCUGGGGAGGAGGCAGCACACCAACUACAGGCUCCUCCUUCACCCAGGUAUGAGAGUGGUGGAGAUGACUCGCCACAUCGGGGAGACAUGGAAGACAUCCCUCUAUACUCCUCAGAAGAAGAAGCCCCCACUGCACCAGCAGCCCCUUCUGCACCAGCAGCACCUCCUGCCCCAGCAGCCCGCCGGGCACCAGCAGCCCCUUAGGAGGAGAUACCAGAGGUGCAGAUAUUUCAAGAUUUUCAACAACAGAUGCGUGCCUCCCGGAGGGAAAAUCUUCAAAGCAGAAUGCAGAUGUCAGAAGAUAUUCAUGCCAUUCGAGAAGGACAAAACGAGAUCAUAAAUACAAAAAUCAGAAAAUAUCAAAGCGCCAGCUGACCGGCAGGGUUCAAAAUGUGAAACCAAUUUCUUCACAAUUGGAUUAAAACAAAGUGGUUUAUUCAAAAUAAUAUUAAAAAUAUUAAAACAUA